UACGUAGGGGGCAAGCGUUGUCCGGAAUCAUUGGGCGUAAAGAGCGUGUAGGCGGCCAGAAAAGUCCGCUGUGAAAACUCGAGGCUCAACUUCGAGCUGUCGGUGGAAACUUUCUGGCUAGAGUCCGGAAGAGGAGAAUGGAAUUCCUGGUGUAGCGGUGAAAUGCGCAGAUAUCACUUGGAACGCCGACGGUGAAAACAGCUCGCUGGGAGUGUGCCGACGCUGAGACACGAAAGCCAGGGGAGCGAACGGG
rnacentral:rRNA from 1 species